rnacentral:rRNA from 1 species
UGACGCUGGCGGCAGGCCUAGACAUGCAAGUCGAGCGGAUGAAGGGAGCUUGCUCCUGGAUUCAGCGGCGGACGGGUGAGUAAUGCCUAGGAAUCUGCCUGGUAGUGGGGGAUAACGUCCGGAAACGGGCGCUAAUACCGCAUACGUCCUGAGGGAGAAAGUGGGGGAUCUUCGGACCUCACGCUAUCAGAUGAGCCUAGGUCGGAUUAGCUAGUUGGUGGGGUAAAGGCCUACCAAGGCGACGAUCCGUAACUGGUCUGAGAGGAUGAUCAGUCACACUGGAACUGAGACACGGUCCAGACUCCUACGGGAGGCAGCAGUGGGGAAUAUUGGACAAUGGGCGAAAGCCUGAUCCAUCUAUGCCGCGUGUGUGAAGAAGGUCUUCGGAUUGUAAAGCACUUUAAGUUGGGAGGAAGGGCAGUAAGUUAAUACCUUGCUGUUUUGACGUUACCAACAGAAUAAGCACCGGCUAACUUCGUGCCAGCCGGCCGCGGUAAAA